GCAAAGAGGCAACAUAGAGUAAGAUUUUCUUGAUUUUCGGUUACCUCAUAAAUGUCCCGUAAGCUUCUAAAGUGUGGUACUCUUUCACUUGAAGUUGAUGCAGAUGAAUUCUCUUGAGUACUUGAUAUUGGUGUUAUUAGUGGAGUAGUAGGCUCCUCUCUUAUUUGCUCCACCAUUGGUUGUUCCACAUCUUCUUCAAAGUACGGGAAGAAGUUCUAAUCUACAUUUUGAGAUUUCCAAUUCCAUUCUUCUUCUUCAUUAAAUAUGACAUCUCGACUAUUGAUUGUCUUCCCAGUAUCUGGAUUGUAUAGCUUAUACCAUAUUAAGUUAGUAUCAUAGCCAAUAAAAAUAAACUUCUUACUUUUAUCAUCCAAUUUGUUUCUUGCUUCAUCAGGCACAUGAACGUGAGCUAUACUCCCAAAAACUCUUAGAUGAGAAAUCCUGAGUUUCCUUCUACUCCAUGCUUCUUGUGGUGUCUUGCCCCAUACACUCCUUGUUGGUGAUCGGUUGGAUAAGUAUACUAUACAUGGAACUGCUUUUUCCCUUAGUUCCUUUGGUAGCCUCUUGCUUUUGAGAAUGCUCCUUAUCAUGUCAAGGAUGAUUUGAUUCUUUCUUUCCACCACUCCAUUUUGUUGAGAGGAUCUUGGAACCGUCAAGGGUCAUCGUAUUCCGUUGGUUUCACAAAAUUCGUGAAACCCCUUUGGGAUAAAUUCUCCUCCUCGAUUAGAAUACAUAAUUUUGAUCAAGCGACCGCUCUCCUUUUCUGCGGCCGCUUUAAAUUUCUUGAAUAUGCUAAAGACCUCCGGAUUUUUUGCUUCAAGAAGUAUACCCAAGUUUUUCGAGAAAAGUCAUCUAUAAAAAGAAUAAAAUAAUUAUUCUUACCAAGUGACCUUGGCUUUAUCGGACCGCAAACAUCUGUAUGUAUAAGUUUAAGCGGCUUUUGGGCUCUUGAACUUGACUCCUUUGGAAAACCUCUUCUGAAUUACUUCCCGUGUAGACAUGCUUCACAUAAUUGAUCGGGAUGUUUGAUACAAGGUAGUCCUCUCACCAUCUCUUUCUUUGAAAGAAAUUCUAGUCCUCCAAAAUUGAGAUGCCCAAAUCGAAGAUGUCAUAGCCAAGUGAUGCCUCCACCUCUAGGAUUGAGGGGGAGCGUCCUUCAUUGACACCUGACCAAGAAGAAGAAGAGGCUUCCACCUUCGGGUCAAAUGAAGAAGAAGAAGAUGGUGUAACCUCCAAAAGUCUAGAAAAUUCAAAUGGAGGAGCUAGUGUUAUCCCUACAAGCGAAGGUAUAGAAAUUUCAAGUUUAAAUAAUAAAAAUCAUAUUAUAUGCUUUGAGUGUAGGGAAAGAGGGCACUACAAGAGUAAAUGUCUCAAAUUGACCAAGAGUAAGGGUCAAGUGACACCUAAGGGCAAGGAGAAGCCCAAGGAGACCGCUCCCAUGACAAAUAAGAGCAAGAAGCACAUUGUGUACUUUUCUUGUAAUCAAAGAGGACAUUAUCAGAGUUAAUAUCCUAAGGAGAAGAAAUCGGUCAAAGUCAAAGGAGGAAUCUCAAGUCAAGGGGAGCUUCAAAGAGAAAACCCAAGGUUCUCCGUGAUCUACUUGAGCUUAAGGGUGACAGAGGGUGAUAGAGAACAUAUACCACUCGAACAAGUUGAAUCUGCAUCAUCCAUUGCUUAGCAUUUCUCCACGGGUGGAAUGCCUCUCAGAGAUAUUUCAAGGGAAACAUAUGAAGCAAUUGUAAUUGCAAUUUGCAAUGGACCUAUUAGGAGGGAAGUCAAAUUCUGUAGAAGGUGGUGAGGAUCCCAUUUGAUGAAGUCCUUUAACUGAUGUCAUAUUGAUGGGUAUUCUCUAGCACUAGGCCUUGAAAAUGGAGAUACUGCUACUAGUGCAAUUGAACAUACGAUUUCAUACAUUAGAACAUUGUAUGCCUUUACAAAUGAUACUCUUGCUAAGUAUUCUUAUGCAACCUCACUUCAAGCUACACUAAGGUUCCUGAUUUCGAAUGGAAAGGCUAAUGGUGGAGAAAUUAUUACAACUUUGUUUGUUGUAAUUUUGAGUAGCCUUGGACUUAAUCAAGCGGCUAUCAAUUUCUAUUCAUUUGAGCAAGGGAGAAUUGCUGCUUACAAACUUUUUGAGAUGAUAAGCUGUUCAAAUUCUUCUCUUAAUCAGGAUGGAAGUACCUUAGCUACAAUGCAAGGAAAUAUUGAGUUCAGGAAUGUUUACUUCAGCUAUCUUUCACGUCCAAAAAUUCUCAUACUGAGUGGCUUUUACCAAAAUAUACCUGCGAGAAAAACUGUGGCCCUUGUUGGUAGGAAUGACUCUAGAAAAAGUAGUAUAAUUCCUCUUAUGGAGCGUUUCUAUGAUCUUACCUUAGGUGAAGUUCUAUUGGAUGGGGAGAUAUAAAACAUCUGAAGUUGGAAUGGUUGAGAAGCCAAAUUGGACUAGUUACCCAGGAACCAACUUUGUUAAGUUUGAGCAUCAAGGAUAAUAUAGCUUAUGGAAGAUCUGCUACAUCUUAUUAGAUUGAAGAAGCUGCUAAAACAAUUCAUGCAUAUGAUUUCAUAACUUCUCUUGAAAUGGGAUACGAAACUCAGAGAUUCCUAUUGAUCUGUUCCAAGAAGUGAAUUGGUUGUUUGUUCAAGUGUGCCUUCUCACAUCUGCAUAAGGUUUCAAGUUGUUCUUGUAUAGUAUCAAAUGGACUACAAGAAGUUCCUGCAAUUCAUUAAAGAGAAGAAGAAGUGAAUUUUGGAUCAUAAAGAGACCCCCUUGAAAUGGAAGCAGAAACUUAAAGCUUGGUUGUUUGUUAAUUUUCUUAUGUAGUUAAUUUUUGAAAUUUGAAGAUAACAUUUUCAUGGAUUGAAUGUAGUAAAUAUUUAGUUUUA